GCCGCGCCAGCAGACAGUCAGGACCCGACCCUGGGAAUAAAAAACGCGCAGCUCCGUCUGUUUGAAGAUUAUUUUAUUGCAGCGAGGUAGGGCAGUUCAGUGAAUUUCUCCAUGAAUGUACGUCACAAUGAUGAUGACAGACCAGAUUCCACUGGACUUGGCUCCGCCCCCCCUCCUGAACGAGGUCUCUCUCAUGCCUCACAUGGUUAACGGUGACGCAGCUCAGCAGGUGAUCCUGGUGCAGGUGAACCCGGGGGAGACGUUUACCAUCCGGGCGGAGGACGGCUCACUGCAAUGCAUCCAGGGUC